ensembl:miRNA gga-mir-1735 gga-mir-1735
CUCCUGCAGGCUUACAGGGGCUUUGGGCAGCAUCUGUUGUUAGAUGGUCAGAUGCUGUGCAAAGCACGUGCUGCAGUAG